AAAGGAAGAAAAAAGAGAAACAAGGGGUGCUAGGGGUUAAACCCCUGACCUUGGGGUCAUGUGUCAAGCCCCUUACCAACUGAGCACAGCACUCUUGAUGUCAAUGAGCAUGUUUCAUAACAAUAAAUAAUAAGUUCAAAUCAAAAAACACAAAUGGGCCAAAGCUAGCCCUUGGAUCUGAAUCAUAAAAUAAAGUAAGCAAAAUGGAUGGUCAGAUCAUGAAGCACACACGCGCAUGCAUUGACCAGCUAACACUCAAACACUCAGGAGCCACAUCAC
rnacentral:lncRNA from 1 species